rnacentral:rRNA from 1 species
AGAACGAACGCUGGCGGCAUGCCUAAUACAUGCAAGUCGAACGAACUCUUCGGAGUUAGUGGCGCACGGGUGCGUAACGCGUGGGAAUCCGCCCUUGGGUUCGGAAUAACAGUUGGAAACGACUGCUAAUACCGGAUGAUGACGAAAGUCCAAAGAUUUAUCGCCCAGGGAUGAGCCCGCGUAGGAUUAGCUAGUUGGUGAGGUAAAGGCUCACCAAGGCGACGAUCCUUAGCUGGUCUGAGAGGAUGAUCAGCCACACUGGGACUGAGACACGGCCCAGACUCC